GAUGAACGCUGGCGGCGUGCUUAACACAUGCAAGUCGAACGAUGAACCCCGCUUGCGGGGGGAUUAGUGGCGAACGGGUGAGUAACACGUGAGUAACCUGCCCUUAACUUUGGGAUAAGCCUUGGAAACGAGGUUUAAUACUGGAUAUUGACUUUACCUCGCAUGGGGUUUGGUUGAAAGAUUUAUUGGUUUUGGAUGGACUCGCGGCCUAUCAGCUUGUUGGUGAGGUAAUGGCUCACCAAGGCGACGACGGGUAGCCGGCCUGAGAGGGUGACCGGCCACACUGGGACUGAGACACGGCCCAGACUCCUACGGGAGGCAGCAGUGGGGAAUAUUGCACAAUGGGGGAAAGCCUGAUGCAGCGACGCCGCGUGAGGGAUGACGGCCUUCGGGUUGUAAACCUCUUUCAGUAGGGAACAAGGCCAGCAUUUUUGUUGGUUGAGGGUACUUGCAGAAGAAGCGCCGGCUAAAUACGUG
rnacentral:rRNA from 1 species